CGAAUAGAGAGCUCAGAAACAGACACAUUUUGCAAAAUGUAAAAUACGAGGCAGUUCGUCAAAGCCGCAGACCUUGGCCCUCCUCUCGCUCACUGCCCAUGUCAGUCACGUCCUCGCCGGCUCUCAAAGCAAGGGCUCCAUCUCGCACAAAACGAGGUUGCAGUGACACUAAGUGAACUGCGAUGGCCGGCCCCUGUAGGUGACAGACCCCUGCAACCCCUCAUGAAGAGCCCCAGAAACGUCCCUCGGAUGCAACACACAGCCAUUUUCAUAGAACCCCACGGAGACUGAAACUGAACUGUUAGUAUGGAACAAGGAGUCGACAACGAUGGCAGGGAUUUUAAGCCAGAUGGGAAAGGGGAGGAGCUGCCUAGUAGGCUUGCCAAAGAGCUAUUUGGAGCAAGCAGUGAUGUGGUUAUAGAGCAAAGACCUUAAAGACCACCCCUCAUUUCCCAGAGGAACCAUUUCAACCGAGAGCGGGUGUGGUCAUCAGCCUUCAAGAUGGUCUCCUAGAAUUCCUGCCCUUGUGUUGUCUCUCUCCCAGACUGACUAGGGCUGACCUGUGCAACCAACGGAAUGUUGAGGAACUCACAAUUUGUGACUGCUGAGCCUAGAUCAUAAAAGCACAUUGUGACUGCUAUCUUGGAUCACUCACUCUGCGGAAAGCUAGCUUCCAUGUCACAAGGACACUCAAGUGGUCCUAUGGAGAGGCCCUCAUGGUGAAAAAUUGCAGCCUCCUGCCAACAGCCAACAAGGAACUGAGGUCUCCUGCCCAUAGCCAUGUGGAUGAACCAUCUUGGAAGAGGACACUCCAGCCCCGGUAAACCCUUCAGAUGAUGCAGCCCCAGCCAAUGUGUUGAGAGACUGUGACUCAGAACCUCCCAGCUACACCACUCCCACAUUCCUGACCUGCAAAAACAGUGAGAUAAUAAAUGUUUGCUAUUUGAAUUCACCGAGCAUGGGGUUUAUUUGCUAUACAGCAAGAGACAACUCACACAGAGGGUGUAUAUCACCAAGUUAUGUUCUGUAUUCUCGCAAUGUGCCCACAAUCAUUAUCUCAUUUCAUUCUGAUACUUACUUGACUUCUCUGGCUCAGAGGUAGAGAGGCUGCAGGUGGGAGAGGUUAAGUAGCCUUUCCAAGUUCACACGAUGCAUGAUAGCAGAAACAGAUGAAGAAGCCAAGGAUUCUAACUUCUAAUAUUUUCUCUGUGCACGCAGUCCAGCUGCUGAACUCACAUUAUGUGGAUAUCUGCACCAUUAGCCAUUUUUCUAGGACCUGCUUUGUUUUGCAAGGAUUCCCUAUUGAAUGUUCUAGGACACAGACGGAGGCAGCAUCACCGGUGGAUGAAGAGGUUACCUCAACUUUAGCACGACCUGAGAAGCUAGACGGAGUAUUCCUGGCCACCAUUCAACAAGCCUCAACUGAGCGCCUGCCAUAUGACAAGUGUCAAAAAAGCCACAUCUACAGGAUGCAUUUCCUAGAGGCACAGUUCAAUAGAGAGCCAGGGGGUGAAAAAAAAAGAGAAAAGAAAAAUAAGAAAGCUAUAACAUUUGAGCUUGAAAUGUCACAGGGAGCCAAGGAAGUUGUCUGAUGGAUUGCCCUGUCAUCUCCAAGCCAAAAGAAAAAAAAAAAAAUUCAGAUCCAUCAAUUUGUUCCUGCCCUUUUAAUCCAAACAAUAUUUUACAGCAUCAGAACGCAAAGAAAUUAUUUUCUUAGACAUUCAACAACGCGCGUGGAUUGCUGAGCACUUCACCAGAAAGCAGCAAAUGAUGGAAUGAAGGCACAGAAAAAUGAAAUGGCUUGCUCAGGGUCAUACAACUAAAAAGAGGCAGAACUGGGAUUUGAACCCAUGUCAUCUGACUGCAGAGCCUGUGUUCUUAACGCCUUCAGAAGACUGGAAGGUGAAAUAUCUCUAUUCUCUCAAGAGUUCUGUAAGAUUGGCUGUUUCUAACUCCCUCACCAUUGUGGUCAACCUCUGCUGAA